rnacentral:rRNA from 1 species
AGGCAGCAGUGGGGAAUAUUGCACAAUGGGGGAAACCCUGAUGCAGCCAUGCCGCGUGUGUCGAAGAAGGACCUUCGGGGUUGUAAAGCACGUUUCAGUAGGGAGGAAGGUAGUGUAGUUAACACCUGCAUUAUUUGACGUUACCUACAGAAGAAGCACCGGCUAACUCCGUGCCAGCAGCCGCGGUAAUACGGAGGGUGCGAGCGUUAAUCGGAAUUACUGGGCGUAAAGCGCAUGCAGGCGGCCUGUUAAGUCAGAUGUGAAAGCCCGGGGCUUAACCUCGGAAUUGCAUUUGAAACUGGCAGGCUAGAGUCUUGUAGAGGGGGGUAGGAAUUUCAGGUGUAGCGGUGAAAUGCGUAGAGAUCUGAAGGAAUACCAGUGGCGAAGGCGGCCCCCUCGGACAAAGACUGACGCUCAGAUGCGAAAGCGUGGGGAGCAAACAGGAUUAGAUACCCUGGUAG